rnacentral:rRNA from 1 species
CCUACGGGAGGCUGCAGUGGGGAAUAUUGCACAAUGGGCGCAAGCCUGAUGCAGCCAUGCCGCGUGUGUGAAGAAGGCCUUCGGGUUGUAAAGCACUUUCAGCGGGGCGGAAGGCGGUGAGGUUAAUAACCUCAUCGAUUGACGUUACCCGCAGAAGAAGCACCGGCUAACUCCGUGCCAGCAGUCGCGGUAAUACGGAGGGUGCAAGCGUUAAUCGGAAUUACUGGGCGUAAAGCGCACGCAGGCGGUCUGUCAAGUCGGAUGUGAAAUCCCCGGGCUCAACCUGGGAACUGCAUUCGAAACUGGCAGGCUAGAGUCUUGUAGAGGGGGGUAGAAUUCCAGGUGUAGCGGUGAAAUGCGUAGAGAUCUGGAGGAAUACCGGUGGCGAAGGCGGCCCCCUGGACAAAGACUGACGCUCAGGUGCGAAAGCGUGGGGAGCAAACAGGAUUAGAUACCCCUGUAGUC